UACGGAGGGGGCAAGCGUUGUCCGGAAUCACUGGGCGUAAAGGGCGCGUAGGCGGCUUGAUAAGGUUGCGGUGAAAGCCCGGGGCUCAACCCCGGGUCGGCCGUGGCAACUGUCGAGCUGGAGCACUGUAGAGGCAGGUGGAAUUCCGGGUGUAGCGGUGGAAUGCGUAGAGAUCCGGAAGAACACCGGUGGCGAAGGCGGCCUGCUGGGCAGUGGCUGACGCUGAGGCGCGACAGCGUGGGGAGCAAACAGG
rnacentral:rRNA from 1 species